UUUUCUCUCUCUUGUUCUUGUUCUUGGCUAUUUCGGAGAGAGACAAAGGGAAGGAGCAAAAAAUUUCCAAUUCCAGUCGGAUUCUCAAGCCAGCCUUCUCAGAACAUCAAGGCUCGAUUGCUUGAAGAGGUUCCCAAGUUGCAGAGAUUGGCUGUAAAGAAGGUGGAGAGGAGGAGAACGGUCACUCCUCGACCUAAUUCUUUAGAUUUGAGGACCGGGAAUGGAGCUGCCGGCGGCGGUGAAAUGUCGGCGGCUCAGAAGCUGUUGGUCACUUCGAUGAGGAGUUUAUCGGUUUCGUUUCAGGGCAAGUCGUACGCGCUCCAGGUGAGUAAAGCGAAGCGACCGCCGUCUCCGAUUGCGAGGAAAGGGACGCCGGAGCGAAGGAAGGCUUCGACGCAGGCGAGGCCGGAUCAGAGCGAGAAUUCCAGACUGAUGGAGCAGUACCGGUGGCCGCCGAGGUUGAGGCCGGACACUUGUAUGACCAGGAGCUUGGAUUUUACGGUGGAGAUGAAGAAAUUGAAUGGAUCUGGCUCCAAUGUGGUUAGGGCAUUGCAAAAUUCACUGGGGAAUGAUCUUGAUGGGAGAUUGAGCUAAUGCUGCACUAGCUGCACAGAGGUCGAAUGCAGAGAGAAUACAAUGCGUGAAAAACAACUUCAAAACUCCGGGAAUCUGUUAGAGCCAAAAGAACUGAGUUACAAUUGCUGAGGCAAAAUUUGAAGCUAACUUCCAUUCUCCAGGGGCAAAUGAUAUAUUUGGAAGAGUGUUGGCUUAUGGACCGGGAUUACUCUAAUUCCUUGUCUGGUGCCAUCGAAGCUUUGAGGGCUAGCACGCUCCGCCUUCUAGUGGUUGAUGGAGCAAGGGUAUGU